ACGGAUACCUAUCUGAAUUGUGGGAAGGCAUUACUGGAAAUGCUAUUACGUAUUUAUGUCCCCCUGCCGUCAUAUAUCUCAAAAGACUGGGACUAUGUUCAAAAGUCGUGAUUGGUCCUGCUGGAAUCUGUUUGCUGUGUUUUUGAACAUUUGGUAGAACUAUGGGCUUAUUUGGGAAGUGAAAUGAUUGAAGAAUGUCAUUGUGUUAUGUUUGUGUACUGGUAGCUUCUUCUUUUUCGAGGCAAGCGACAUUUUUCAUCGCAGGAUCAGUGGGCAGCUUUCUUGCCUCCUCUAAGCUAAAUUACAUGCAUUCAUUUUAGACCAAUUCUUGAAAGUAUCCCUUGCAGUAUCUCAGAAGCUUUCUUUUGCACCGCUGACUCUUUGUAAACAUGAAACGUGUGACAACCAGUUCUAGCCAACCUCAGCAUCGGACGACCAAGGACAGCUCUGAGGAGCUAAUGUAAAAACUGUUGAAUCAGAACAGAAAUGUAAUACAUUUUUGGUCAGACAUUGGUUAGAAUAGCAAUUUUUUGAAAAAUGUAAAUACGACACUGGAUUCUACAUAGAAUUUCGAUUUUUGA